rnacentral:lncRNA from 1 species
GCCCUUGUCUUCUGGAUUGCCUUGGUGGGGCAUUUGGAGGAGAUACUGACAUAGAGAUUGACUCAGGAAAAGUGACAUCAGGCAGGGUUUUGAAAAUCUUCUCAUGAUUUUCUAUGAGGAUUUCAACAACAAUAUUCUGAAACUUCAGGUCCAUGAUAGCUGCUACAGUUUCUUCCUGAGGCCUCAUUAAGGUUGGUCCAAAUACCACCCCCAGAUUCGCUACAGUCAUUAGAUUCCUCUUGGCAUGCUUUGAAACAUUAGCUAAAUGUUUCACCAAAAUGUCCAGCAUCUCUUUGUUCUUUUCUGGGAGUUUAUGGACCAAGAAGUGAACAGCAUUAACUCGAGAUUCAGGACUCCCACUUUUGGCAGGAAUGAUGAAUUCUCCAUGCAACUCAUACGUCAUCAGUGGCUCUGGAAGGCUUCGCAGAUAUUGCUUCAUAGCACUGGUAAUUGUCUUCACUUCCCAGUCUACAGAGUUUUCCAGGUCAACUUCAUUGCAGGUUUUUGCAUCCAUCAACAAACUCAGAAGUCUCUGGACCUUUGAACUCACCCCCACAACUCUGUACAAUCCUUGGUCAUUUAUACCUCGUGUUUCAACAGCACUGAUGCACUUUUUGAUGACUGUGAACCCUAUCUUAUCCAAUUGCGCACUUCCCUCUUGUUUUGCAUUUGCUUUAUUCAAAUUGAUGAACAGAGCUUCUUUUCCAUCCAAGGCUUCCAUCCACAGCUUCCUGUCCUCCUCAGAAAAGGCUUGCAUGGUCACAGGGACUCCAGGCCUGUCUGAAGAUUCUAAGUCAAAACAGAAUCGCCUGUCGAUAGUAUCUACAUUUCUUUUGGUGCAAUAUGUAAGGAUGAAGAGUUCCCCAUC